rnacentral:lncRNA from 10 species
UAGAUACAGAUGACCCUCCUACUUAGACUGCAUACUUCUUUCCAUAUCACUGCCCAGCCCAGCUCCAAAUUUCUGCCAAACUAGUGCCUCGUGGGGAGAAGGCACUCAGGACGUAUUUGCCAGUUGGCGGGUCAGCAUUUUCUUUAAGGGCAUUCUGGAAAGCAGCCGUGGACUUGGCCACUUCCAGCAGUUCUACUUUAAACACAAAGUUCCUUGGCUUCCAAUUUCUACAUUAAAGUGCUCCAGUUCCUCUGGUCAGCAGAGAACAUCCUUGGGGUCUCGCAGCCCCUACAGACAUCAUCCAGGCAGCCCAGAGACAAUGUUCUUGUGAGCUUCUGUGUGUAAACAGCCAAGUCCAUGCCUACUGCUUCGUUUUAAAAUGCCCCAAACACAAACCCUUUUUGUCAUUUAGAAGAGCAUGGAAAAGCCCCUUCUGCCCCACGGAAUAACAAAAGACCAGUUGGCUUCCUUUCAAAUAUGCUAAUUGCCCAGCUCCACACUAGCUGAUGAGAACAAGCAGCUAUUCCAGGAAAGAAAACAAUGGAGGCAGGCAGUGCGCGCAUAUUCCUCCCGGCCUAUGUGGGACUGUUUGUUUCCAGGCCACCGGCCGGCCCUACAGCUGGCUCCAGGCUCCAGAGCCCAGACCCGUGCCUGACUUCUUUACUAGAAGUUUGAGGAAAUGUGAUCCUAUCUUUCGGUUCUCUCUGGAUAAAAGUGGAACUAG